GCUUACGGCCAUACCAGCCUGGGUACGCCCGAUCUCGUCUGAUCUCGGAAGCUAAGCAGGGUCGGUCCUGGUUAGUACUUGGAUGGGAGACCGCCUGGGAAUACCAGGUGCUGUAAGCA
rnacentral:rRNA from 1 species